GUUGGCUUAGAAGCAGCCAUACAUUAAAAGAGUGCGUAAUAGCUCACUGGUCGAGUGACUCUGCGCCGAAAAUUCAACGGGGCUAAACAGUAUACCGAAGCUUAGGAUUGUGUCUUAUGACACAGUGGUAGGAGAGCGUUGUGUAAGGGGUGAAGUCAGAGCGGAAGCGCUGGUGGACUUUACAGAAGUGAGAAUGCCGGAAUGAGUAGCGAGAAUUAUGUGAGAAUCAUAAUGGCCGAAAAUCUAAGGUUUCCUGAGGAAGGUUCGUCCGCUCAGGGUAAGCCGGGAGCUAAGGUGAGGCUUAAAUGCGUAGCCGAUGCACAUACGGUUGAAAUUCCGUAGCCGUCGAAACUUAAAUGCAGGGACGCUUUGAAAGGACUUGAGCCGGGCGAUGGUUGACCCGGUCGAAAGGGACCGAAAAUUAGUAGGGAAGCAAGUCUGGACGAAGACAAGAAAAGCUGCAUGGUAUGCUAAGGCGCCCGUACCGCAAACCGACACAGGUAGAUAGGAAGAGGAUUCUAAGGCCAACGGGAGAAGGGUUGUUAAGGAACUCGGCAAGUUGACCCCGUAACUUCGGAAUAAGGGGUGCCUGCGAGAGCAGGUCGCAGAGAAUAGGCCCAGGCAACUGUUUAUCAAAAACACAGGUCUCUGCUAAAUCGAAAGAUGACGUAUAGGGGCUGACACCUGCCCGGUGCCGGAAGGUUAAGAGGAGAUGUGAGAGCAUUGAAUUGAAGCCCCGGUAAACGGCGGCCGUAACUAUAACGGUCCUAAGGUAGCGAAAUUCCUUGUCAGGUAAGUUCUGACCCGCACGAAUGGCGUAACGAUUUGGGCACUGUCUCAACAGCCCGCCCGGCGAAAUUGUAGUACCGGUGAAGAUGCCGGUUACCCGCGACUAGACGGAAAGACCCCAUGGAGCUUUACUGUAGCCUAAUAUUGGAUUUCGGUAUUUCAUGUACAGGAUAGGUGGGAGACUAGGAAGCAUUGGCGUCAGCUGAUGUGGAGUCGACCUUGGGAUACCACUCUUGGAGUGCUGGAAUUCUAACCUGCGGCUUUGAAUCAAGUCGGGGGACAUUGUUAGGUGGGCAGUUUGACUGGGGCGGUCGCCUCCUAAACAGUAACGGAGGCGCUCAAAGGUUCGCUCAGCAUGGAUGGAAACCAUGCAUCAGAGUGUAAACGCAAAAGCGAGCCUAACUGCGAGAAUGACGGUUCGAGCAGUAACGAAAGUUGGAGUUAGUGA
rnacentral:rRNA from 1 species